GUGUUCUCUUCAGCAACACAUAUACUAAAAUUGAAACAAUAUAGAGAAUAUUAGCAUGGCCCCUGCACAAAGGUGACAGGCAAAUUCAUGAAGUGUUUUAUAUUUUU